UACGUAGGGGGCAAGCGUUGUCCGGAAUUAUUGGGCGUAAAGAGCGCGUAGGCGGUCCGGUAAGUCGGCUGUGAAAGUCAAGGGCUCAACCCUUGAAAGCCGGCCGAUACUGUCGGACUAGAGUCCGGAAGAGGCGAGUGGAAUUCCCGGUGUAGCGGUGAAAUGCGCAGAUAUCGGGAGGAACACCAAUGGCGAAGGCAGGUCUCUGGGCAUUAACUGACGCUGAGGAGCGAAAGCAUGGGGAGCGAACAGG
rnacentral:rRNA from 1 species